GUAGGGAAUAUUGGGCAAUGGAUGCAAGUCUGACCCAGCCAUCCCGCGUGCCGGAAGAAGGCCCUCAGGGUUGUAAACGGCUUUUGACGGUGAAGAAUCGACAGGAUGCGUCCUGUUUUGACGGUAGCCGUUGAAUAAGCACCGGCUAACUCCGUGCCAGCAGCCGCGGUAAUACGGAGGGUGCGAGCGUUUUCCGGAUUUAUUGGGUUUAAAGGGUGCGUAGGCUGGAAGGUCAGUCAGCGGUGAAAAGCUGUCGCUUAACGAUAGUCUUGCCGCAGAUACUUCCUUUCUUGGAUGAGGAGGAGGCCACUGGAACGGAUGGUGUAGCGGUGAAAUGCAUAGAUAUCAUCCAGAACACCGAUUGCGAAGGCAGGUGGCUGUACCUUAAUCGACGCUGAUGCACGAAAGCAUGGGGAGCAAACAGGAUUAGAUACCCUUGUAGUCC
rnacentral:rRNA from 1 species